AAGAACGAACGCUGGCGGCAUGCCUAACACAUGCAAGUCGAACGAGACCUUCGGGUCUAGUGGCGCACGGGUGCGUAACACGUGGGAAUUUGCCUCGGGGUAUGGAAUAACUCAGGGAAACUUGAGCUAAUACCAUAUAAUGUCUUCGGACCAAAGAUUUAUCGCCUUUAGAUGGGCCCGCGUUGGAUUAGCUAGUUGGUGGGGUAAAGGCCUACCAAGGCGACGAUCCAUAGCUGGUCUGAGAGGAUGAUCAGCCACACUGGGACUGAGACACGGCCCAGACUCCUACGGGAAGCAGCAGUGGGGAAUAUUGGACAAUGGGCGAAAGCCUGAUCCAGCAAUGCCGCGUGAGUGAUGAAGGCCUUAGGGUUGUAAAGCUCUUUUACCCGGGAUGAUAAUGACAGUACCGGGAGAAUAAGCUCCGGCUAACUCCGUG
rnacentral:rRNA from 1 species